UUGCCAAUGAUGUGUAUAGAAUUUCUUCACCUGAAAAAUCAUGUGGCAUUAAGAGCUUUUUAACCCUGAGACAAA
ensembl:snoRNA SNORD36 Small nucleolar RNA SNORD36